GACGAACGCUGGCGGCGUGCCUAAUACAUGCAAGUCGAGCGGGCUGAUCCUUCGGGAGAGGCUAGCGGCGGACGGGUGAGUAACACGUAGGUAACCUGCCUGUAAGAUUGGGAUAACUACCGGAAACGGUAGCUAAGACCGAAUAGCUGAUUUCUUCGCAUGAGGAAUCAUGAAACACGGUGCAAGCUGUGGCUUACAGAUGGGCCUGCGGCGCAUUAGCUAGUUGGUGAGGUAGAGGCUCACCAAGGCGACGAUGCGUAGCCGACCUGAGAGGGUGAUCGGCUACACUGGGACUGAGACACGGCCCAGACUCCUACGGGAGGCAGCAGUAGGGAAUCUUCCGCAAUGGACGAAGGUCUGACGGAGCAACGCCGCGUGAGUGAUGAAGGUUUUCGGAUCGUAAAGCUCUGUUGCCAAGGAAGAACGCCCAGGAGAGUAACUGCUCUUGGGGUGACGGUACUUGAGAAGAAAGCCCCGGCUAACUACGUGCCAGCCGCCGCCGUAAGAC
rnacentral:rRNA from 1 species